ACACUUGACCAGUAGUGCACGCAAAACGUGAAGUGCACAGUGUGGGUGAUGAGCGGUCAAAUCCAUCAUAGUCCCUUUAUGACUUGGUGCUACACAGCGUACUACAAUGNGACAGUUUAAGCGAAAUGAGAAGCGAGUACCGCGACGGUGGAGACAAGAACUCAAAACACAACGUCCCAGUUCANGAUUUGCAGGCUGGAACUCGCCUGCAUGAAAUCGGAAUUGCUAGUAAUCGCAAUCAGCAUGCUGCGGUGAAUACGUACCCGGGUCUGGUACACACCGA
rnacentral:rRNA from 1 species